CAGGAUUUGCGCUUGGUCAACCAAGCUACAGUGACUUUGCACCCAGUGGUACCUAACCUGUACACAUUGUUGGGGUUGCUGCCAGCUGAGGACAGCUGGUUCACUUGCCUGGACCUAAAGGACAUUUUCUUUAGCAUCAGGCUAGCUCCUGAGAGCCAGAAACUGUUUGCCUUUCAGUGGGAGGAUCCGGGGUCAGGUGUCACCACUCAGUACGCUUGGACCCGGCUUCCCCAAGGGUCCAAGAACUCCCCCACCAUCUUUGAGGGGGUGCUGGCUUGAGACCUCCAGAAGUUUCCCACUUCUGGAGUUUCGAGUGGAGUUUCCCACUCGAGCUGCUUGCUGCUCAAGUACUUCGAUGACCUCCUGCUGGGACACCCCACGGCAGUCAGGUGUGUCAAGGGAAUGGAUACCCUACUCCAGCACCUGGAGGACUGUGGGUAUAAGGUGCCCAAGAAGAAAGCUCAGAUCUGCAGACAGCAGGUAAGUUACCUGGGAUUUACUAUCUGACAGGGGGAGCACAGCCUGGGAUCAGAAAGAAAGCAGGUCAUUUGCAACCUACCGGAGCCCGAGACCAGAAGGCAGGUGCAUGGGGCAUUGUAUAAAGAAAAAGGCCUGUUGAACUCUGGGGGAAAAGACACAAAGUAUCAGCAAGAGAUCCUGCAAUUAUUAGAGGCAGUGUGAAAGCCCCAAAAGGUGGCAGUCAUGCACUGCAGAGGACACCAACAAUCUUUCACCUUGAUUGCCUUGGGGAACUCCCGAGCUGACUCAGAGGCUCGAAAAGCAGCAUCCACCCCCUACCGGGCAUCAGUCACAGCACCCCCCUGCUCCUUCAGGCACCUGACCUUGUACCUACUUAUUCUAAAGAAGAGAAGGACUUUCUCCAGGCAGAGGGAGGGCAGGUGAUAGAAGAGGGAUGGACCAAGUUAUCAGAUAGAAGAAUAGCCAUGCCACAACCGCUAGGAGCUGCAGUCAUACUGGCUGUUCAUGAGACCACCCACCUAGACCAAGAGUCACUUGAAAAGUUGUUAGGCCGGUAGUUCUACAACUCACAUCCGGCAGCCCUUGCCAAAACAGUGGUGUAUCAGUGUGUCACCUGCUGGCAGCACAAUGGUAGGCAAAGUGCAAAUGUCCCGCCCGGCAUACAAGCCUGUGGAGCAGACCCCUUUGAAGAUCUCCAAGUAGACUUCACCAAGAUGCCCAAAUGUGGAGGUAACAAGUAUUUGCUAGUUCUAGUGUGUACAUACUCUGGGGGUGGUGGUGGUGGUGGUGUGGAG
rnacentral:lncRNA from 1 species